GAUGGGUGUGGUGGCUCAUGCCUGUAAUCCUAGCUGCUUGGGAGGCUGAGGCAGGAGAACCAUGAGUUCAAAGCCACCUUCAGCAAUUUAGUGAGGCCCUAUGCAACUCAGGAGACCCUGUCUCUA
rnacentral:sRNA from 1 species